rnacentral:misc_RNA from 1 species
GGUUUAAACACCUUUGUUUUUGGUUCAGUAGAUUCGAUAAUCUCAAUACUGUGAUGAGUCUCAAAGUUCAAGUCUUUAACAGUGUUGCAAUUCGAUAGUCUGGUAAUUUCCAUUGCUAUGCUAUCUCCUUUCCCAAAUCCACUUCUCUGCCAUGCUCCCAAAAUGUAAAAGAAAAGGCAUAGACCAAUCACAGCAAAUAAAGAUAUAGGACCUCGG